AAGCGGAGGAAAAGAAACUAACAAGGAUUCCCCUAGUAACGGCGAGUGAAGAGGGAAGAGCUCAAAUUUUAANUCUGCCUUGUUCCAAGGUCGAGUUGUAAUUUGAAGAAGCGUUUUCUUGGGCUCGCGGCCGGUAGAAGUUCUUUGGAACAGGACAUCAUAGAGGGUGACAAUCCCGUCCGUGACCGGUCGUGCGUUCAUCUACGAUACGCUUUCAAAGAGUCGAGUUGUUUGGGAUUGCAGCUCCAAACGGGUGGUAAACAUCACCUAAGGCUAAAUAUUGGCGAGAGACCGAUAGCGAACAAGUACCGUGAGGGAAAGAUGAAAAGAACUUUGAAAAGAGAGUUAAACAGUACGUGAAAUUGUUGAAAGGGAAACGAUUGAAGUCAGUCGUGCUGGCGCGAAAUCAACCCUCUCGUCUUGAGAUCACAUGGCGCGACGAGCCUCAAAACCGUCACGAAGCGUGAACUCUUGACGAAAAGGUGCACUUUCGUGUCCGCUGGUUAACAUCAAUUUCGAACGUCAUAAAAAGGCUGGAGGGAUGUGGCUCCUUCGGGAGUGUUAUAACCUUUAGCGGAAUGUGGCGUUCGGGAUUGAGGAUUGCAACGAAUACCUUCAGGGCUGUUCCACCUGGCUUCUCAUUGGUAUCCUGGUGACGACAGCUUGCUGACGUCGUUAGGAUCAGCUUCUGAACAGGCUAGAGUGUGAGCAAAUUCGUUAAGGAUGUUAACGUAAUGGCUUUAAACGACCCGUCUUGA
rnacentral:rRNA from 1 species